rnacentral:lncRNA from 1 species
UUAACACUCUAAUUAGCAUGCAGUGUCACAGGUGCCUGCUGCUUUCAUGACAUGGCCUGCACCCAGCUCCUCCUGAUGCUGCCGCCCCUGCCCAGGGCACAGCAAGCAGCAGUUGUGAAUCUGUACCCUAUGAGCUGCUGUUGGCCUGUGGAGCCAGGCCAGCAUGAGGGGUGGAGGGAGUCAGCAUUAAACCAAGUCUUGCAAAGCAUUUGAUCAGGUACAAGGUAAAAUUGAAACAACAGCCUCCUCACCAAUUCUUCUGAAGGAGAAUGUUCUGAGGAAAUCAUGAAAUUACAACUCUCUCAAGCAUCAGACAGACCUACCAGUGUGGAUGCUAUGCCACGUGGACAGGAGCUCUUACUGAAACUCUUCUGCAGCUAUGUAUCAUGUUACCAUCAACACUUGCAUUAUGCUACUGUUCUCACAGAUAACAUGCAUACCAUAUUUUCAGUAACUUUUGUGAUAAGCUUUUUAAGCACUGAAAUUUCUCAAGGCUUGAUUUUUUUUUUUUUUUAAUAACAUUCCUGCAAAUGUCAGUGGCUGUUAACAUCUGAAUCAAGCUGUUCCCAGUUCAUGUGACUGGAAAUGGUGCCCAGAGCAAAAAAGCCAGACACUGACUCUCAUAUAAGUGUAGUCUGUUUGGAAAAGUUACUACUGAACACAAGUAGAAGUCACUGAAUCCACAUCAGAAUACCUUUUGGCAGGAAAUAAGGUAAGGUUGCAUUAUGACCUUUUAUUAUUAUUUUCACUAGAGGUACAUUUUAGAAAUGGUCUAACAGAAAAAAACAUGAUGAGCUGCUAAAUCAGAGUUCUGGCUGGACACAAGGCUAUCUGGCUCACACACUACUGGCAGUAUCCGAAACUCUUCUGGGAUUAUAUUGGAAUUGUCUCAUAGGAAAGAAGGCAGAAUUGGGGGUUUUAGCUUGUAGCCACCCCAGGGAGUAGUUCUGAAUGGACUUAUGUUCUAAAGAGGUUUUUCACUCUCAAAGGAGAAGGAAUGCCAUGCGGUAACCAGCUGUGUGUAAGAGCAAAGGGCAUUUAUAGCAAUGAAGAAUGAAAGAGAGGAAUUGAACUCUGUGCACAUGUGAAUUAGACUGAUUUGGCGUCUUCUAAGGGUGGCAUCAAAGACUGAAAAUGUACCAGUCAGAUAUGGCUGGACUAGGAGCAGCUGCAGACAUACGUAUGCGUUUUACCUCCAAGAGUGUUAGUGUAGUUAAAUAUAUUUCAUACAUAACACAUUGAC